GACGAACGCUGGCGGCGUGCCUAAUACAUGCAAGUGGGACGCAAGGAAACACACUGUGCUUGCACACCGUGUUUUCUUGAGUCGCGAACGGGUGAGUAACGCGUAGGUAACCUGCCUAUUAGCGGGGGAUAACUAUUGGAAACGAUAGCUAAUACCGCAUAAUAUUAAUUAUUGCAUGAUAAUUGAUUGAAAGAUGCAAGCGCAUCACUAGUAGAUGGACCUGCGUUGUAUUAGCUAGUUGGUAAGGUAAGAGCUUACCAAGGCGACGAUACAUAGCCGACCUGAGAGGGUGAUCGGCCACACUGGGACUGAGACACGGCCCAGACUCCUACGGGAGGCAGCAGUAGGGAAUCUUCGGCAAUGGACGAAAGUCUGACCGAGCAACGCCGCGUGAGUGAAGAAGGUUUUCGGAUCGUAAAGCUCUGUUGUAAGUCAAGAACGUGUGUGAGAGUGGAAAGUUCACACAGUGACGGAGCUACCAG
rnacentral:rRNA from 1 species